UNGCACGGUAUCAGCAGGGUAUCAGUGAGU
rnacentral:piRNA from 1 species